rnacentral:lncRNA from 1 species
AUGCCCAAUGGAAGCACUUGGAAUAUUUUUGUACAUCAUGGCGGGGGCAAUUCAAAUAGGGCCACUAAUAAUAGGAUGGUAAGAUCUGGGUCUACUGUCUCUAAGUACAUCCAUAGAGUGCUUAAUGCAGUUUAUGCUGCUGACAUAAAUAAGCCGGUAGAUCCUAACUUUGCAAGAGUUCAUUAUCGUGUCCAGAAUGAUGAAGAAUUCCAGCCAUUUGCUGGUGCGGCUGGUGCAGUGGAUGGAGCACACAUUCAUUGCAUUGUGGCAGUGGAUGAUUCCAUUCAACACAGGAACCGUCACCACAUAACUUCUAGGAAUCUCCGAUAUGUGUUUCCUUACACAGAACCCAUUGUACAAUGGAUACCCCAUCGUUUCAGACGCUCCACCCUACGUGGCUGGAACGAUGUACCUAACAGAGCGGCGGCAAUGAAUACACUCCGUGACACCAUUGUAGAUGAAGUUUACAACAGUUUUGGUGACACCUUCGUUAGCAGCCGGCUGCUUUAUAGCUGCACAGCACGUGAAGCAGAGCAGCAGCCGUUCGGCUGCCUCACCGACAGUGACGGUGCUCAAACGGCGCUUCCUCACUCCGUUCCUGCUCUGUUGCCACACGGCAUUAAAUUGCUUCCCAGCUGCCGUUGCUCCGUUGACGUUGCCACUCGGCUGUGUUUGCAUGUUCAGGUGUGAAACAUAUUGG